AUCGGCGAUUGUCUGAAUGUAUGUUUACAUUUGUUACGAGUUUAUAAGUAUUUUAGAUAUUCUUAUAUUUAUUCUCCAAUGUACGAUUGAUUGGAGCUCACCCGUCGGUGUGAUCGAUUGUCGAAAGAAGAUGUAGGGAUUCGACACGUGAAUGAUGAAAACUAAUUAAAGGACUGAAAUUUUGAAUAUUUAUUCGGUCCGUGAACAGUGCACGACGAUAAAUAUAAGGAGCGCAUAAUGAAAUUCUAUAAUUUUUUGCCUUUGUUCACUGUUCAGGGAAUAAGAUUUCCGAUGUCGGGAGUGACUAAGCUGAUCGAAUUUACUACAGAUUUAAGCGGUCAAAUAAUUCUAUAUUCGGUUGGAUUUUUCAUUAUUUAUGAUCAGUUGAGGACUGAUCGGAAGUGAACAAAUGUUCGAAAUGAUUUAAUCGAGCGUCGGCGUACAUUAGAUGUAGAUGCGUUACAAUCGACCUCGGAUCCGCUGACGUAGCUUAGCGUUAGACUAGCGAACAGAGUGAGAGGGUUAAAGACAAUAUUUGUAAAUAACGUUAUCGUAAUUACCUGGAAAAUUAGGUGUUACAGUAGGCAUUCAUACACUCUUGCGUUUAAUGGCAAUUUUGUUCCAAAAAUCGAAUGUUAAUUACUUGACCUGCACUGAAGAACUUUUUGUUUUAAAGUGUCAUAUAAAUUGAAAAAAGUUUGGACGCUCUUAACAUUAUGAUACAUUGAUCUUUUUGAUAUAUUCUAAUUGUACAAAAUUGUCAUUAAUAGCCAGUUUGUAAGUUGUACAAGGUGCGUCGUGCGAACGCGACGUGGCUUUACGAAACCGAUGGGAUCAAAUCCUUUAAGAAACUUACAUUAACAGAGAAACGGUGGCGAACUGAAACAUUCAGUAUAUUAUAUUUUAAAAUAUCGUCUAUUAUCACAAAAAAGACGUUAGAUGUAAAAUAGUGUUACUAAAUGUGAUAGUCUUCUUAUUUAUUUAACAUUUGAAGAAUUCUUACAUAAUAAACACCUCGUGUACAU